rnacentral:rRNA from 2 species
UACGGAGGGGGCAAGCGUUAUUCGGAAUCAUUGGGCGUAAAGGGCGCGUAGGCGGCUUGGCAAGUCAAAGGUGAAAUCCCUCGGCCUAACCGAGGAACUGCCUUUGAAACUGCUUGGCUUGAGGCCGGGAGAGGGUAGCGGAAUUCCCAGUGUAGCGGUGAAAUGCGUAGAUAUUGGGAGGAACACCAGUGGCGAAGGCGGCUACCUGGACCGGUUCUGACGCUGAGGCGCGAAAGCGUGGGGAGCAAACAGG